rnacentral:misc_RNA from 1 species
GAAUGAACUUCAAUACUAUCAGUUUAAACCAAACGCCAUGUCAAUAAGAAAAACCCAAAAGCUACAUUUCCAUUUGCUAAACAAUGCUUAGGAAAACUGUUAUACAUCUGUUCGGUUUUGGUAACAUAUGAGAUUCUAUCAAAACUUCAAGCAUUUGUUUGUUACAGAAGUGUAUAAAGUCAAAACCGCCAAGCACAAGCUAGUCAUACCCACUUGAACGAAAUCUGCCUACACGAAUGCUGGAGCAUAGAAACAUUUCAGGCUCAACCAGACAAGCACCUAUCUAACUUACAUAACCAUUCCUCCAU